rnacentral:rRNA from 1 species
AUACGAAGGGGGCUAGCGUUGCUCGGAAUUACUGGGCGUAAAGGGAGCGUAGGCGGACAUUUAAGUCAGAGGUGAAAUCCCGGAGCUUAACUUCGGAACUGCCUUUGAUACUGGGUGUCUUGAGUGUGAGAGUGGUAUGUGGAACUCCGAGUGUAGAGGUGAAAUUCGUAGAUAUUCGGAAGAACACCAGUGGCGAAGGCGACAUACGGGCUCUUUACUGACGCUGAGGCUCGAAAGCGUGGGAAGCAAACAGGAUUAGAUACCCUGGGAGUCCACGCCGUAAACGAUGAUCGCUAGUUGUCGGGAAGCUUGCUUCUCGGUGACGCAGCUAACGCAUUAAGCAAUCCGCCUGGGGAGUACGGUCGCAAGAUUAAAACUCAAAUGAAUUGACGGGG